GUCUGGGGCCAUACCACCCUGAACACGCAGAUCUCAUCUGAUCUCCAAAGCUAAGCAGGGUCAGGUCUGGUUAGUACUUGGAUGGGAGACCACCUGGGAAUACCGGGUGCUGUAGGCU
rnacentral:rRNA from 1 species